UGGUGCUCUAAACUACCUUUGAGUUUCUGG
rnacentral:piRNA from 1 species